AAAUCGGGUAUUCUCUGAUCUAUUCUACUGCUUUUGAUUUUGGUAGAUUAGUUCUUAGAAAUAUUGGUGAAAGAAUGCUUGAGAACAGGAAUGUUAUAUAUUUCUCAAGAUUUUGCCAAUUGUUGUUUAAUGCCACUGUUGGAGAAGUGGAUUUUGAUGCUGCAGAUGAGAUCAAACCUUUUAAACUUCAUAAAAGGGCUUUUAAGGAUCUCAUAUCUAAAGAUGAGAAGAGACCAGUUCUCAGGCCUCUGCAAAU
rnacentral:lncRNA from 1 species